CCUACGGGCGGCAGCAGUGAGGAAUAUUGGUCAAUGGGCGGAAGCCUGAACCAGCCAAGUAGCGUGCAGGAUGAAGGCCCUACGGGUCGUAAACCGCUUUUACACGGGGAUAACACCCCCCACUUGUGGAGGUCUGCAGGUACCGUGCGAAUAAGGGCCGGCUAAUUCCGUGCCAGCAGCCGCGGUAAUACGGAAGGCCCGAGCGUUAUCCGGAUUUAUUGGGGUUAAAGGGAGCGUAGGCGGGCUGUCAAGUCAGGUGUAAAAUCCGCGGGCUCAACCCGGGCCGGGCAGUGGAAACUGGCGGGCUUGAGUUCACAAAAGGCAGGCGGAAUUCGUGGUGUAGCGGUGAAAUGCAUAGAUAUCACGAGGAACCCCGAUUGCGAAGGCAGCCUGCUGGGGUGCGACUGACGCUGAGGCUCGAAGGUGCGGGUAUCAAACAGGAUUAGAUACCCGAGUAGUC
rnacentral:rRNA from 1 species